AGCGAACGCUGGCGGCAGGCCUAACACAUGCAAGUCGAACGAAGUCUUCGGACUUAGUGGCGGACGGGUGAGUAACACGUGGGAACGUGCCUUUAGGUUCGGAAUAACUCAGGGAAACUUGUGCUAAUACCGAAUGUGCCCUGCGGGGGAAAGAUUUAUCGCCUUUAGAGCGGCCCGCGUCUGAUUAGCUAGUUGGUGAGGUAAAGGCUCACCAAGGCGACGAUCAGUAGCUGGUCUGAGAGGAUGAUCAGCCACAUUGGGACUGAGACACGGCCCAAACUCCUACGGGAGGCAGCAGUAGGGAAUCUUGCGCAAUGGGCGAAAGCCUGACGCAGCCAUGCCGCGUGAAUGAUGAAGGUCUUAGGAUUGUAAAAUUCUUUCGCCGGGGACGAUAAUGACGGUACCCGGAGAAGAAGCCCCGGCUAACUUCGUGCCAGCCGCCGCCGUAACAC
rnacentral:rRNA from 1 species